rnacentral:rRNA from 1 species
UACAGAGGUCCCAAGCGUUGUUCGGAUUCACUGGGCGUAAAGGGUGCGUAGGCGGUCGGGGUAAGUCUGAUGUGAAAUCUCACAGCUUAACUGUGAAAACUGCAUUGGAUACUAUUCGGCUUGAGAGUUGGAGGGGGGACUGGAAUUCUUGGUGUAGCAGUGAAAUGCGUAGAUAUCAAGAGGAACACCAGUGGCGAAGGCGAGUCCCUGGACAACUUCUGACGCUGAGGCACGAAAGCUAGGGGAGCAAACAGG